AACGGUGUGUGGUCCUGGCAGGAGGGUGACCGAGGUGGUGGGACUGGCAAGUGGGAUGUGCUUGUGAGGCUGAGGACUUGGUUGUGAUCAUCAGCCUUAGGGCACUGAGACCCCAGAAGCCUGAGCAAGGUCUGCAGUCAGCCCUGCCCCCGCCUUCAGUCAGGCUGGAUGGAGGCCAGGGAGCCUGGGUUCCUCCCAGCCUUGCCCCUCCCUCCCUCCUGCUGAACUCUUCCUACCCGGGCUCUGAACACAUCCCUGAGCUGCAGAGCUGACGUCUGGGUGACAGUGAAACGGGGUAUUCAUUUGUACCAAAACAAACAAACAAACAAACAAAACCUGGAAUGACGGUGUGUGGAUUUCUUGUGUGCUUAUUCGUAGGAUUGAGAAAGGGGACAAGAUCUCCUGAGUUGUCGAAGACUCACUCCGGAAGAAAACCCUCUCAGGCAGUUACUGAGGGACUGUGGUCUGGACUAGAACGUGUUUUUCUCAGUGACACCUCUAGAGGGCAGCACUCAACGGAGUCCCACAGACACCUCCCUGCAUUUCCUCCUCAGACACUGGGUGGAUGAUAUGAUAUGUAGGCUACCCGAGGGCAGAGACUGAGUCUGUCUUGUUCACUGUCUACCUCCAGAACCUCACACAGAAUCUGGCACUUAGUAGGUGCACAACAAAAUAAUCAUUGAAUUAGUAUACUGAGUCUUUAACAGGAAAAAGCUGAGACAGGUUACAACGGGAGUGCCAGAGAGAUGUCACUUAAAAUGAGAACUUCUCAGGGUUUGAGAAAGGUGAGUCCCAAGCCCUCGUGAAGCAUUGGAGAAAGUGCCGCCCCGAGGUUCAGGUCCACACAGCGCUGUGAGGCUGAAGGGGCGCGCUAGAAGUUCCUUUCACAGGACGCCACCUCACCUGAAACCCUCCUUUUCUGCUGACACCCGAGGGACAAGAUCUUCUGAGUUUUUCCAUUACUUACUCUGGAGGAAAACCCUCAGGCAGUUAGUUACUGAGGGACUCUGGUCUGGACUGGGAAGUGUUUUUCUCAGUGACACCUCUAGAAGGCAGCACUUAGCGGAGUCCCACAGACACCUCCCAGCAUUUCCUGCUCAAACACUGGGAGGAUGGCCUGGUAACACUGGGGAAUGCCUGGGUGUUCUAGAAGCCCCCACCCCUGAUUUUAACCACGUGUUUUCUUAUCUGAGUCCUUGUAGACAUGUAUGUAGUCUGCCUUAGGGCAGGAAUUGUGUCUACCUUGUUCACUGCCAAUCCUCAGGACAGAACCUGGCACUUAAUAGGUGCACAACAAAAUAACCACUGGCUGAAUAUACUCAGUAUUUAACAGGCAGUUUGUCACAAUCCACUCCCUCCCUGACCUCAUUGUGGUUUAUAGUUUAUGUUUAAUGACAUUUAGUUUCCAUGUACUUAGCAUUUUAUUGUAUAAAUUUCUCAUAUAUAUAAAAAAUACACAUAAAAUACAAUGGUCCUCUUUGUUUCAAUCAUCUAGCUGCAGUAAUCACCAACCCAAGCCUGUCUUUCAUUUGUAUGCCCAGCUUCUCUCCUCCUCUGUCAUAAUAUGAAACAAAUCUGAGGUAUCAUAUUAUCUCAUCCUAAAUACUUCAGUGUGUAUCUCUGAAACAUAACAGAAACAUCAUACCUAACAUCACAAAAUGACACUAAAAAAUUUAACAGUAAUUCUUUAAUAUUAUCUAACAUUCAAUCAAUAUUCAGGUUUCUAAUUUUUAUGUGUCAUAAGU
rnacentral:lncRNA from 1 species